GGGAAGCCGCGGCCCCGUCGACCACCGCCACCCCUCACGAGGGAGCGACGAGGCCCAGCGCCCGCCGACUGACCGCCCCCCGGGGGUGGUCCGCGGUCCCUAGCCGACCGACCGCCUCUCCGGGAGCGCCGCGGCCCUCGUAGCGACCGCCCUCCGCGGGGGAGCGAGCAGGAGUGCUGUCUGUGCAGAGCCAUUUGUACCCUUGGGAAGCAUCAGUGCAAGAAAACAAGGACAAGCUUCACUUCGACUGUGAAUAAGUUUUCAGAUAAAUCUGGAUUAAAAAAUGGCAUUCCUGCAGACUGUACUUCAUUCAAAGCCAAGACUCAAAAAUCUUCAUAGCUUUCAUGUGUUUUCAAAAGAACAAAUGCUGCAUAAAUACCACAUGGGCUCAUCUUGCACACAGUGUGUGUGCACAGUCAGGGUGCUCCGUGGGCUGCAAGAACCUUUAUUCAGAGGUGAACUUUGGCAAACUUCUCCCUAGUGUGUCAGAAGACACUGCAAGGGCAUACUCAAGACCAGUGUUGAGACCAAAUAGUCAUAUGAGAAGAAGCCUUUGAGAAGGAUUUUUAAAGCCUAUCUGAUUUCAGGAUUUAUAAUAUUUAAAUUUCCAGUGAUGUUCUACUCAACUGAGAAGGAGAACUGAGCAGCCCAGGCCUGAUUUUGAAAGCAAAGUCUGCCUUUUAACUUUCACUCUUCUAUUCAUACUUCCCUAUCCUACGCUACUCACCAAGAAUGAUGGCUAUUUUCCAAAGUCCUGCACAGCCAACAUCCCACUGCCAGAUUCAUAAUAAUUGGAGUCAGUGUGAAAACACAGCCUUUUGGCAAAGAACUCAUAAGCUGGCAAACAGCUUCAGGAGACAGUGGACUCUAAUUAGAAUCAAGGAGUUGGCCACAUAAGCAGAUCAAAGGCUUUUUGAAAGAAAGGGAUUAUUUCCUGAAUGCUUCAAGUGCAUAGCAACGUGAUGUAAUUCGUAACAUAAAUGCAAUUCCUGGAUGUUCCUCUUCUCCAGAAGCUUGACAGGAUGUGCAGCUACUAUGAAUGGACUGGUGGUAUUUCAGCAGGGAGGCAGUGUUCCACUGAGCAGCACCAGCCCUGUAACGCUGAAGAUGUGCCAGACUUGGGCAAUAAAAGGGACCUUGUUCUGCUUCAGCUCCAGCCUUGUCCAGCAUCACGCAGUGACACUUGGAGGUCUUCCAAGAACUUGUGUCACAGGCUCUGCUGGAGCAGAGGACAAAGUAAGCUAACUACUACCCAGCUUUGUGCUGUACCAAAGCUGUUCCCAUGUGUGCCAGUUUAGAAAGUUACAACUGAAUAUAAAAACAUUUUAAAGCAUCUCUAUCCAAAGACGUAUAUGAAAUGCAAGCUGCUGGUUUUUUCCACUACGAAAUUUAAAUGAAGAAUACAAACAGCAGAUGAAAUUUGGUUUAAGAGAGUACCAAGGAAGGAGGAAAAGGUCUGAUGGUUUGACAGUUUUGAUGCAGUCUGAGAAGUAUGUGAGCCAUGAGGCUGCUGAACCUCACUGUUUUACCAGCCUUCACUCAAGAACCUGUUUGAUAAGUCAGAGCUGCCCCGGGAAAUGUCAGCAGUUCAUGGAGUUCAGUGGCUGAGAGACACACAGAGCUGACCAGAGGUGAAGGUUUUCCUCUCCAAACACCUGACCACGUGAGCCCAGCUGGAAACUUAUUUCCCUAUUACAGGAAUGAAGGACUUUCUCCAAGUACUUCAUUCCAUCCCUGCGUGAUGAAAGAUAAAAGUUUACAACCACCUGCCACCUGUUUCUGAUGCUAGAAAAUACAUUAUGCCCUUUGGCAUGGUGAAGAGAGCAUGCAGGAAAGAUCCCGUAAUUGCGUACGAAUGGCUGAUGGGGAGCAAUAAAAGGGACACUGCUCUCAGCAGCAUUCGUGCAGUGGAGCCUCCAGAGCAGCUUCCCACCUCAGCUGUUCCACCUUUUUGUCCCCACGGUACAGCAGUGGCACAGCACGGGGACGUGCACUGUGAUGUGAGUGAAGUGAACCUCUGACACCACAAAUGUCUUCUGUAUUUCAUCAGCCUGCUUCUCCAUGUGGGUAUACCUGUGAAGGAACUUCAGGUUCCAAGGACUAAAAAUGUCAUCUGCCUGAGGAAGAAGCACUUGAUUUCCUCUGGGGAAUUCAAUACAAGAAGAGAAAAGCAGGAAGAAACGGCUCAUUUGUAAGCCAGUCUGGCAUACAGUGAGUGUUUAAAAAGGCUUCGUUUCUUUUGCAGCAGUACUGAUUCUUCCUUGGAGUUCUGCUUCUUAAUUUCACUUCUCCCCACUGGCUUUGCGUGUUCUCCAGUAGCCAGUUUGCCCAGACUCAAGGAUUCAGGUGUCAGUGUAUCACCUCCUGCUGUGCAAAUACAUAUCAGAACAUUUAAUUCUCUGCUUUAGCACCGAGGGAUUAUUAUUACAUUUGAUUUUAAUCAUCUUCUGGAAUAUACCCAGCCCUUUCCCUGUGCAAGUUGUGCUUUGUACAGAGAUUGUUUUAAGAAGUUUUCACGUGAGAUGGACCAAGGGCUAGCACUGAGCACUCACCAUCACACUCAACAUCUCUUGGGCUUUUUCUGCUAUUCCAAGGAAGAAAAUCCUUCCUGGGGUAGUUAAGCCCAAAAGAGAAUUAAAUACUUUGGUGGCCAGGCAGUACCACAGCCUCCCAUGAACAGGCCCAUGGAUUGCACACAGCUGUACUCUUGCCAGAAUGGAGCAGGGGGAGGAUCUGCUAGAAAUCUAUUUGAAAGAGCUUUUAAGCUGUAGAUUUGGCAUAAGCAAAGCCCUGUUUUUACAGCCUCAUAAUGAACUCUGAAAAAAACCUUUUCCUUUGGCCCCGUGCCUAUCUACCUGUAAUUUAAUCAAGGGGGGGCAGCAGCAGUCCUGGACUUUCAAGACAAUUUCGCCUCCUCGCACUUGCGCAGCCCACCUCAGCAGAGAAAAAAAAUGGGAAAAAAAGGGAAGGAGGAAGUGCCUCAAGAACGUAGCUUUAAAGUUCUUAUGACAUUAAAGCCAGCACCUCAGCCACUGGAUGUUUGCUGAUACAUUACAGAAAAAGGUGAUCCUUAUUUUAUCCUAAUGCCUUGAAGAAGGUACACGACAAGUUCGUAGCUGAAGCAGGGAUUCCCUGCAGAGAUCCCAAGCCAUCUUUUGUCCGUCCAGCAUUGAUCUGUCUGCCUUAGUUUAUGAAGGGAUGCAGAAGCUCAGUUGCUGAGAGCUAGAGCUCCAGGGUACAUUCCUGAUCAAAACACAAUUACCUGGCAGCUUCACCCAGGCAGCUGUGAAAUCAACCAUGGAAGGGAAGGGUGAAUGAAGAUGCUAACUGCGCUAACAGCAGUCAGCCUCUCCAUAGUGACGCAAAGCAGGAGUCACCUGCAUAAUGUGACAGCACAGGUCUGUGUGAGAGAGAGCUGAGCCUGCACACCCCAGCACGUAGCUGCUGCUCAGCAGAAGCUGAUUGCGUUAUUCUCAAAACAAGGGAAACUGUUAACGCCUGCUUUGGAAAUCCAAAUCCUCCCCCCACGUUCUGGAAGGGGGAAUUACCAAAUGAACCAUCUCUCUCACUCCCCAAACAUAAGGCACAUUAAAAUGUUCCUUUCUGUAAAUAUGGGUGCUGUUAAAACGGUCUAUUUAACUGAUGCAUUACCUGGGUGCUGCCAGAGUUUAGUGCCUGCUGCAUGCACAUGCUGAGUACGUGCUACAGGGAUCAGAGGAGAUGAAAAACAACCCUUUUUCCUCCUCAGAACCAUAAGCAAAACAGCUUUAACUUGGUAACUGCUUAACACUUGAUCCUAACGGCAAACCAGCCCUUCUCCUUUCUUCUUCACCUUCACAGGCAGCUCUGCUCAACAGCCACCAUGGAAUUUAGCAACAAAUGCCUUACGGAGCUCAAAGCGUUAAGGCACACUGGCAUGAAAACAACACCAAAUGACACAGUGUUUUCAAGUAUUCUGUAAGAAAAAGAAACCAAAACUUUAUUUAGUAGAAAACUUUCAGAAUACAAAAUGGGUCUGUUUGUAGUAUUACAAGGACAACAUACUCAUUAAAGAUAAUUCCUGUUCUCCUAA